CCACCGCGGCCCCAGAUAAGACACCAGUAAACCUCAAAUAGAAGAUGGGCAACCAUCCACCUUCUAUAAGGGCGUCUACAAGCUCAACGUGGCCUUCGUGGCCAACCUGUUCAACAACCACCCGGGACUCGACAAGCCGGAGACGCUCGACCUGGAGGGAAUCGACCACAUCGAGGAGACGCGGGAGAAGAAGACCUACAGGAACUGGAUGAACAGCAUGGGGGUCAAUCCGCACGUCAACUGGCUCUACUCCGACCUGGCCGACGGAAUCAUUAUCUUCCAGCUCUACGACAUCAUCCGGCCCGGCAUUGUGGAAUGGAGGAGGGUGCACACGUGAGUGGAUUUUUUUUUUUUUUUUUUUUUUUGGGGGG